CCCUUAGAUGUUCUGGGCCGCACGCGUGCUACACUGAUGCCUUCAACGAGUCUAAAACCUGGUCUGAUAGGGCUGGGUAAUCUUUUGAAAGUGCAUCGUGAUUGGGAUAGAUGAUUGCAAUUCUUCAUCUUCAACGAGGAAUGCCUAGUAAACGCAAGUCAUCAGCUUGCAUUGAUUACGUCCCUGCCCUUUGUACACACCGCCCGUCGCUCCUACCGAUUGAAUGAUCCGAUGAAUACCAUGGAUUGAGAGUACGAAUAGGUUCGCUUAUUUCUGCUGCUCGAGAAGUGGAGUAAAUCUUAUCAUUUAGAGGAAGGAGAAGUCGUAACA
rnacentral:rRNA from 1 species